rnacentral:rRNA from 1 species
UACGUAGGGUGCGAGCGUUAAUCGGAAUUACUGGGCGUAAAGCGUGCGCAGGCGGCGCGUUAAGACAGGUGUGAAAGCCCCGAGCUUAACUUGGGAAUUGCGCUUGUGACUGGCGUGCUGGAGUGUGGCAGAGGAAGGUGGAAUUCCACGUGUAGCAGUGAAAUGCGUAGAGAUGUGGAGGAACACCGAUGGCGAAGGCAGCCUCCUGGGCCAGCACUGACGCUCAUGCACGAAAGCGUGGGGAGCAAACGGG